CAAGGUUAAGAAAAGGGGCAGGGCUUCGAACACACCGACUGCGUCAUUGCAUCACUGCUGCGUAACAUUUUGCGCAGCUAGGCAACUAUACUGAUGCGUAUACCUUUUGCAGAUAGUUGCAUGCGGUUUGACACAUGGAGGAGAGAAUCAUUUUCGCAGUAUCCUCAAAACCGUGUCUUUUUGACACAACUGCUGGCAGCGAUAUGGACAUAAACACAAAAAAAUGCUGCUUGGAGACAAGUGUCCACGAUAGUAGGAUUGCCAGGUCAGUUUAGUAGUGAGCUUGUGCUAGAUGUGGCUAGUUAGCGUUAGCUAACCUAGCCAAUGAGGUGUGUGUGUGAAAUAAAUAUUCAAAUAAAUUAUGCUAGUUACUACCCCUGAUAAUUUUACCAAAUAAUCAUGUUUGAAAGAGUGUGAGUGUAUGCUAGAUUAUUAAUAGAAAUUGUAGAUACUACUGUACCCCUGAUAAUUUGGUCAGAUAACCGUGUGUGUCUGUGUACAGUAGGUGACAUGUCCAUGAUAGCUAUCUAAUAACUAUAGUUAUGCUAGGUAAUGGUUUGGCUUAUCAUGUUCAUGUCUAUGUAGAAGAAGACUGUAAGAUGAAGUGGAUAGGACUCAGGGACAGGUAUCAGAGAGAGAGAGAAGGGCAGAGAAAGAGAAGAAGAGGUCUGGGUCAGCAGCCGCAUUCUUUCUUUUCUGGAUCCAUUUAUUGUGCCUAGGGCAAUGAGUGGCAAUUUUACAGCCAGACCCUCUACUACGUCAUCCACAAGUGUUGUCCCCACCGGUGCAUCAAGACCCUCUACAACGUCUACAUCAUCCACGAGUAUGACCACCACCGGUGCAGCCAUGGAAGAUUAUGAAAUGGAGGAAGUACCUCUGGAUCUAGGACCACCUGAGAUUAUUAUGAACCUCACGGAAGUGACCGCUGAGGACCUCGUUGAACAGCAUGUGGCCCGUGGAGAGAAACGAAGAGGAACGUCACACCAGGCGUCAUCGGAGGUACCUGCCCCCAGAUCCACUCAACUAAUUUCAGCAGAGGCUCCUCCAAGCCGUCGAGAGGGAUGCAGCCCAACCUGAUGCUCACAGGAAGGAGGAUGAAGAGACCCUCUUUGCCAUGAGCCUGGUUCCAAUGCUGAAGAGGCUGCCUCAUCAAAGAAAAGCAGCAGUCAAGGUUAAAAUGUAUCAGCUGCUUUUCGAUGACAAGUUCAAGGAAAUGGAGUCAAUUUAGCCGACCAGCUCACAGGAAGGACAGGAAGAGGAGAGGAGUUGUCUGGUUGUUGUUUUGACCUCCCUCAUUGUACCUUUCUUUUCACACACAGACACACACCUCUCCUCUCUGUCCCUCAGAUCUCCAGUGCCCUGCCCUCUCUCUUUAUGGCCAUGUCUGAAGUUCCCCUACUACGUCUAGUCUUUAUGAGUUGUCCCUGUAUCUGUCUGCAGUUGUGCCAAAAAUACAUGCUCUUAUUGUUCUCUUACAGAUUACAGGCUACACAUUCAUUUUAUUUAUUUGUUACACGCACACACACACACCUCUUUUAAUAGAUCUAUUUUUUUUAAACAUUUUUACAACACACAUACCUGUCAUGUUCUUUCCUGUACUUGAAUACUAAUUAAAUAAUGUUUUCAUAGUCA
ensembl:lncRNA